CGUAAAUUGAUCGGCAGAAAUAAAAAGUAAUGUAGAUUAAGAUUUUGUUGAUCCAGUUUCACUGAACCAAAUCUAUACAAUACCAAGUAAAUACUCCGAUCGCAACUGAGUUUCAGUGCAGCAGUUAAUGUUAAGUUUAUUAGCUCGGCAUGUUUGACCUUAAAAAUCAGAAACGAUUAAGUAAGAUAUGGAUAAGAUACGUAUUAAAGGGAAGUCAGACUUACGGAUUGUGAAAAAACAUAUCGGGGUCCAUCGGCUUGCCACUUCCUUUGGAUCCAGCCCCACGGAGCCACACAAAUAAA